rnacentral:lncRNA from 11 species
GGAGAGAAGAAAGAGAUGAAGCCACCCUUUUCAGGACAUUCUCACUUACUUUUAGAACACAUUACACAAGAUGUGUGCUUUGCUACCAUGGCUGGCACUUUUUGCCAAAGGAUGCAAAGUGUUAAGAGAAAGUGGCCCACUUCAAGGUGGAAAUAGCUGAGAUGCUUGGGAAAGGGGAAAGUGUUUGGCUAAAAUGUUGAAGCCGGCUGACUUCGGUCAAGCACCCAGGACUGUGUUUGAGCACUUGGCACAUAAAAGGAGGACUGGUUCUCCAAGAAUGCUUGGGGUCCCACUGGAGACGUUGGCACACAAUGUCGCUGGAAAUCAUGAUGCUUAUGUCGUGGCACUCCUUUAAAAAGAAACAACUGGUGAGUGUGAAAGAAGAAUAUAAAUGGCGCUGAGCAGUAAGCAUUCCAUAAUCCUGCCAGGAAAGAAAUGGAGACUGGUCAGGAAAGAAACGGAGACUGGUCUCUUGAUAGGCUGGGCUACAAGAAGGAGAGGACUUUCAAUGAAAGAGAGAACAUGACUUCCAAGUGGUUGUCCCAUGGCUCAACUGAUCUGGCCGUGAAGAUUUUCAACCAACUGUUCAACAAAAAUCAACCCUUCUGUAAUAUUAUACUAUUAGCUUUCAUCCUGCAGAUAAUCACCGUUGUUACACUGAAGUCAAAAACAAACUAUCCUUGUAAAUUGAAGUAUUUUCCUCUUCUAAUUUUUAAAUAUUCCCUUGAGUGGUCAACAUUCGCCCUAUCUCUGGACUUCAUUUUUGAACAAAAGAAUUCCACAGGCAGAUUCCAACAUGAACUUACUGUACAAGAAUUAAUCAAGAGGUUCAGGUCAAUUUCUUGUGGCUUGAAAGAAGGGAGGGAAGACAAUACCAGAAUGGAUCAAUGCCAGAAUGUGAAUUUACUUUUGUUUGUUAAUGGCCAAAUUAUGAACAUUUAUUUGUUCAUUUAUUGAAUGUAUACCCCACCUUACUCAGGGUAGGCUCCAAGCCAAUUUACAGACAUUUAAAACAAGAUUAAAUUAAAAUCUUACUUUACAUUUUUUCGUAAAAAAUUAAAUAACAAUAUUAAACGGUUCCAGCCCAACUUACCUGUCCGAACGUAUCUCCCUCUAUGACCCCCCUUGGAAGCUAAGAUCAUAAGGGGAGAACCAGCUCUCGGUCCCACCACCUUGGCAAGCGUGAUUGGUGGGGAUGAGGGACAGGUCCUUCUCAGUGGUGGCCCCUCGGCUGUGGAACUCCCUCCCCAGUGAAAUCAGGUCAGCCCCCUCCCUCCUGUCUUUCAGGAAAAGACUUAAGAUGUGGCAGUAAACAGUGCAAUAAUGAUAAUGGAUUAAUGGGAUGGACAAUUGGACAGGCCUUGGACUAUGACCUGGACUGCAUUAUUUUAAUUAAUGUUUCAAUAAUUAAUGUUUAAUUGUAUGGUUUUUAAUUGUAUUUGUUUAUAUUUAUAUUUAUAUGUAUUGGCAUCAAAUUGCUGCCUGCUGUAAGGCCGCCCUGAAUCCCCUUUUGGGUGAGAAAAGCGGGAUACAAAUAAGUGAAAUAAAUAAUAAAUAAUAAAUAUAUUUAAAUUGUUUACAUUCAUCUGACCACACUGAGUUGCAUAUGAAG